rnacentral:lncRNA from 1 species
GAAAUGCUCUCCUCCUUGUCGGGGCUUCCGAAGUAAGACUCUGGUAACGGUGAUGAAAUCUGCAACGGCCAAUCGGAGAUGAUGUCGGAGAGAACGCCGCUGUAGUCGGCGAGAAAAGAGAUGUAGUUCAUGACAUAGCGUGUAAGAGGGUGGAUUCCACCGCCGGGAACUGUAGUUUUGGAUGAAUGCUUUUGAAUUGCCAUUUCAAAGUCCGUUAACAUCGUUCUAACGGCAUCGCUGAGCCUGAUUAAGGAGUUAACGGCGGUCGAUCGGACGGUCGAGGUGGAUUCGAAGCUGAAGAUUGAUUCAAUCUCGGGCCAAAGGUCGGAAACCGCCUCAUAUAAAUCCAAGAUACGAAACAUUUUCUCGGGAGUUUUCUUGCACUUGGCUACAUUUUCUGGGAAUCCAAACAGAGCCA